AGUGCAGUAAUAACAGCGAUGCUGAGAGGAACAAGAGCCGGGCGCUGGCCGUGCACCUGGACUGCGGCAAACACCGGGAGGAGGUACCGGGGCCCGCCUUUCCUCCUCUUUACUGUAACUCACGUCUUUCUCUCCUCCCAACAGUCAUAGGUGUGCACGGUGCAACGUCUGAAAACUUCUGAAAGACAGAAAUAGCUCAAGAUAGACCAUCCAUCCUCCUGCCACGCAGAGGUACAAAGAACAGCUGUCUGGAAUUGGAAUAGGCGUUGACCUUUGCUGGCCUUCUGACUUUGGAUUAAUCAUUUCACCUUCCUGGGACCUGGAGGCCGAGUGCAGAGGAUAAAGGAUAACGGCCAGCUCUCGAAGGCCUGUUGAGUUUUAACGUUUCUCCAAUGCCGUGAUUCAUGCUUUACACACGGUUAUAAACAAAGUCCGUUUUCUCCUUUCUCCCGUGCCCAAGGACAAAUGUAGAUCGCACUUAACUGAUAAGAACUCAAGCAAACUCAUAAGUAUGUCAUGAGAUGAAAUGAAAUAACAGACCCGAAAAGGAAUUGGAUGAAGGAAUUAAAAACACCUCAAGCUCUGUGAGGCUCUCAGAUAUUAACACAUCAUCCUCACCAACCCUCAGUCCUGUUGCAACAACACGCCUCGUAAUCACGGAGCAGUGGUUGUUUGCCGGACUUGGGUGGGGUCGCAGUCUGCUGGUUGGAUCUAAUUUUAACAGGAAAAAUCUGUCCCAACCCAGAGGCAUUAAUAAAUCCUCAUUGCCAAACAGGAGGAAAAACAACGACGACAAAUGGAGGCAUCUUGGUCGAGGACCUGAACACGGCAAGGCGUUCUGGAAAGGAAACGGGCCGCGAGAACGCGUGCUCUCCCCGUGCUGAGUUUUUCCGAGAGCCCGAGGCACAGGACUGACAUGCGUCGGGUUCUUUUAAAAAAAAAAAAUGACUGAAGUGCCGUUGAAUGUGCCAUGUCGUGUCAGUUUCUGCGGUACAGCAAAGUCACCCAGUCGUACGUUCAUAGACACCCUUUUUCUCAAAUUAUCUUCCCUCACAGUCUAUCACGAGAGACUGGACCUCAUUCCCUGGGCUGUACAGCGGGACCUCACUGCUUCUCCCACAGCAAGAGAAGAGACCCCAGACCUCUCAAGUGAUGUUUCCGAGGCGCUCCUCGAGCCGACGCGGGCCGGCCCGGCAGGUGCUUCUUGGAGCCGGUUCUCACGCUGACCGUGCAGCCCUCACUACCCUUGGAGGGUGCAUUGAUGGGCAUCCGUAAAGACCGGGUCUGCCUCUCACAGUCCAACAGGAAAGGCAAUGAGGCAGCCAUCGGAGAUCUGCAGAUACACAUAAAUAUAGGAGAUUUUAAAGCCAUUCUGGAAUAUGCACUGGCCCCUCCCACGUAGGCUCUUGACACUUGGCCAGCGGACCCCGUCUUUGCUCUGUGCCACCCAGAGAGAGCCCGCGAAGUCCUCCAUGGUUCAUUUCUCCCGUUGGUGAGCGCUGGCUCAUGUUUGCGCAGCAAAGCUCAGCGUCUUGCUGUAACAGCCUCUGGGGCUGCGUGCCCACCAGCCCUCCUUGGAGGAGAGCGCCCGGUCCUGGCUGGGCCGCCCAGAGCACACGCAGAAGGUCAAGCUCGCAGCGCAGAACCCUAGUUCCAGGGGCAGUGGUUACUUCGGAGGACAGGUAACUUCGAUCACCUUACAUGAAGGUCUGAAGGUCAGCAGGCCCCACAGGUAGCCUUCGUGUUUAAGAGGCCGGGACCAAAGGUGAAGCCUGCCAGCAACACCAGAGUUGCAUCCCAAACUCAGUCCAACUUGCCAUUCGGAGGGCAGGCACCUCACAAUUCUGGUGGAAAGGAUCCAAGAACCCCUGCCUGCUGGACCUGCAGACAGACUCAGAUUCUCCAGGACGAGGCCCCUGCGGAAAGAUGGUGGGAGGAGAGAAGGUGAACUUGGUCCCGGGACUGCAUCAGGAAAAUUCAGUCUCCCGGGUUCUUGCCCGUGACCUGCCCGCCGGACCCUCUGGAUCACCAUGACAACCAGAAAACGCCUCCUCCCCAUCAGCAGGUCCCUGGAACGGACCCCCGCACCCACGGAAACUAGCAUCCCAACUGACCACACUUGGUAGAGGUGCUGAGGCUAGAAGCCACCAACAACGAAGGUCUUCCCACAAAAAUGUCACCCCAAGCCAGACUGGACAGCCUCCACUCCCAAAGGAUUCAAAACUCUCUUGGUCUUUACUAGGUUAUAGAUGCGGACAGAAAAGAUACAUCAUUGUCUUAAGUCAGAAAACAGGUUUUUGGUUUUGUUUUUUGCCCUGUAAAACUCGUACACUGAGAGGUCCCUGAAUGUUUUUCCUCUGAAAGCCUCACCUUGUUACGCUGCCUGCAAAACAAGCAGCUUCACUUCAACCGUGUCUCUUCCGCGUCUGUUUUGUUAACACACCUCUCCUUUGAAAUGAUACCUGGGAAAGAAAAAAAAAAAAAAAUGGAGAGAACGUUCCUCUGGGAAGGGGCUUGCUCCUUACAGGAACUUUUAAAGGUCAUUUCUCCCUUAAUAUAUUUAUUUUAGCAUCCAUUGGCAAGUGAUAGAAGAGAAAUGGACACCGAGCUGGAUCAUCACGCAGAAUGUUCUAUCAGUUUAUUAGUGUGUCCAGGAAAUUCACAGCUGGCAUAGGUUGUAUCCUCCAGAGGGGUAACAGUUCAACCAAAACCUAAUCUGAAGGAUCUCACAGGAGAUACGUUCUCCAGGGAGAAAUUUUUAUCACUAAACAAGGCAAUUCUUGCUGGUACUAAUUAUCCAAAAAUAAUGUUGUUGAUUUUAACGUCAUUCCCUCUUUUUUUUUUUUUUCCUUACUGUCUUUUUAGGGUGGUUCCUGCUGCAUAUGGAAGUUCCCCAGCUAGGGGUCAAAUCAGAGCUGUAGCUACCAGCCUCGCCAUAGCUCACAGCAAUGCCAGAUCAUUAACCCACUAACUGAGGCUGGGAGGUGAACCCACAUCCUCGUGGAUACUAGUUGGGUUCAUUAUUACUGAGCCACAAUGGAAACUCCCAUUCACAAUCUUUAAAAAAAAAAAAAAUGGCCAUUGCUAGAUAUGAAUUCUGGGUUCUACUCAACCUGGGGCCAUGACUGAGAACAUCUUGUCCUCAGGGAUCCCUGGUGGCUCAGCUGGUUAAGGAUCUGGCAUUGUCAGUGGCUCUGGCGGGGUUGCUGCUGUGGCGCGGGUUCGAUCCCUGGCCGGGCAAUUUCCACAUGCUGUGGGUAUGGCCGAAAAAGAGAGAAAAGCAUCAUGUCCUCAAUGCCAGCCCUGCACUUGCUAUAAUGAACGGCUGCUGAAUUAAAUGUCGAAUAAAUAAACACCAGGUUCAUGCCAAGAAGCCGCAUAAGUGCACACACUCAGUUAAUUUACCCUGCUGUUGUUAUUCACCACAUUAACCAGCCUCCUAGAGUUCCCCAUCUAGACCCCCAAGAAAGACGGAGAGAGACCGAAAGCUAAGAGGAACAGGAAGGAAGCCUAAAGCCCAGUGGGAGGUCGGCUGGUCCCAGCACCAAGCCGUCAGCAUUUCCAUCUGUGCUUCUCUUGCACGCCUCUGCCUAUCCUGGGCUACCGGGCAACCUGGGAGAGGAGGAAAAUACAGAGCCAAGGCGGGACCGCUGAGUAGUCUUACCUACCCGAAAGGACUCCUGUGGCGAUUGCAUCAACCCACGGCGUCCAAGGUGUUUCUCACCCUGUGACUCACAGCUGUUUCCUGAGGGUUCGGUAUGCGCUGGACCCAAGCCUCGAACCCGCCCACCACUGGGACUUCGCUUCUGUCCUAAAAGAGCUGACUCCCUAGUGAAAAUACUAAUGUAUACAAAUGGGCUGUGCCUUCAGGACAGAAAGAAGGUUCAUUUAAAAUUCCUGUAAAAGGGUCUAUUCGGCUCCAGUGUUUCUGCAUCUAGCAGCUGCUGAAGACAGAGCAUCUCGUGGAUUUAGGAAACAGUCAAAGGAUUUGGUAAUGACUGGAGGAAAGCAAUCUCAGGAAGACUUGUACGCACUUUACUACAUUAUUUACAUAAAGUGAACUCUGAAGAAUAUACCACGGAGUCAGAAAUCAAGUUCGGCUCCCUAAGGAGCUGAGGGUAACCAAGAACCAGGGGCCAAAGCCAGUGGCUUGGGCAGGUGUGCUUUGGUCUCAUCCUCUUUGCUCCUUUGCUUCUUGUCUGGAAUGCCCACUUCUUGCUAGAGGGCCUCUUGCUGAAAAGCUUUCAUCUUUUUUUUUUUUUUUUUAAUCUUUUUUUUUUUUUUAGGGCUGCUCCCACAGCAUAUGGAGGUUCCCAGGCUAGGGGUCCAAUCAGAGCAUAGCCGCUGGCCUGCACCACAGCCACAGCCGUGCCAGAUCCGAGCCACGUCUGCGACCUACACCAGAGUUCACAGCAAUGCCGGAUCCUUAACCCACUGAGCGAGGCCCAGGAUCAAACCUGCAUCCUCAUGGAUCCUAGUCAGGUUUGUUAGCCGCUGAGCCACGAAGGGAACCCCCAGUUAUUUAUUUAUUUAUUUAUUUUCAGUGAAACACAGCAGGUGGUUUGUUGUCCAUCAUAGGAAGAAAAAAGCAUGGCAGCUUUGCACAAGUACGGUUCUUCCACCUUCCUGACUUCCGUGUGUGUGAACGUGUGUCACACGCCAGCUGCCAAUCAGGGAACCCACUGCGAAGAUGAGCUGGUACCAGUGCCCUUAACCCCGAACCAGACAAACAGCAGGAAUGAGGGGAAAACCCUCCCUCAGGGUCAUUCGCCUCGAGCUGGCGAGUGGGCGUGUGAUCCUAGGAAAGGAAUCUACCUUUUCUUUUUUUAUUUCCUUUUUAAAAAUGAAAGUGUAGUUGAUUUACAGUGAUUCAUGUGCCCCGCAAAGUGAUUUAAUGAUAUUUUGGAGUCCCCUGGCGGCUCAGCAGGUUAAGGAUCCAGCAUGGUCACUGCUGUGGCUUAGGUUACUGCAGGGGUACGGGUUUGAUCCCUGGCUUGGGAACUUCACAUGCCACAAGCGUGGCCGAAUAAAAUCAUAAAAUAAAAUAAAGAUUUUAGGAUAUUUAAUGCAUAUAAGCUGAGAGUAUUUUUUUCCAUCUGUUUUUGCCUCCCUUGGAAGGAAAUUUAUUUUUUUAAAUUGAAGUAUAAUUGAUUUACCAUAUGAUAUUAGUUUCAAGUGUACAGCAUUGCAACUCAGUAUUUUUACUGAUUAUAGUCUAUUAAGUUAUUACAAGAGAGUGGCUCUGGUUUCCUGUGCUGCACACAUGUAUCCCUGUUGCUUAACUAUUUUAUACAUAGUAGUUUAUAUCCUUUAAUCCCAUCCCCCUAAAUUUUUAACAUAAAGAAAUACUUAAGGUUUCCAAAAUUAUUAUGCAGUUUUUGACCUACGUUGUUUCCCAGAUUAAAGGGACAGCUGUACGAAAGCCACCUCAUGAGGACGCAGGUGGAGGUCAGACACUCUUCCACUUUUGUCGUCAUCAAGAAAUUGCCUCUUGAAAUUCCCAUCACGGCUCAGCAGGUUAAGAACCCAACAUAGUGCCCGUGAGAAUGUGAGUUCGCUCCCUGGCCUUGCUCCGUGGGUUAAGGAUCCCAAGUUCCCAAAAGCUGCAGCAUAGGCCACAAAUGCAGCUUGGAUCCGGCGUUGCUGUGGCUGGGCUGUAGGCCCCUAGCCCGGGAACUUCCAUAUGCCACAAGUGUGGCCCUAAAAAGAAAAGAAAAAGAAAUUGCCUCUUCACCACAGCACCACAGGUCCUUCUCUCUGCCUCGAGCUGGCAGGCAGACGGCUUGCAGGCAAAACGCAGGAAUUCUGCAACCUACCUUGCUGCUGACACCCUGCAAAAUGUUUGCAAAAGCAAUGUAUAAUUAUAAGCCUGGAAUCUGUACCUAUUUAAAGUAGCAUCAAGGUGACAAAAAGCACUAGAUUGAGACCAGAUUGAGGAAAAUUGAGAAAACAAUUCUGCCUUCUACCCCGGACCACAGGGCCAAAUGGACCCAAAAGAACCCAGAAAGCACCCUCAAAAUGGUACCUGGGGGCAAUGAAAACAAAAUCUGAGCUGAUGGCUAGACUUUUUUCAGACUUUGGGAAAAAAAAAAAAAAAAAA
rnacentral:lncRNA from 1 species